GGCCUCGUAGCUCAACUUGCAGAGCUUGCGCCUACAAAGCGUAGGCGGCGUCCAUGCGUGGGUUUGAAUCCUACCGAUGCUA
rnacentral:tRNA from 1 species